rnacentral:lncRNA from 1 species
CUAAGUAUCAAUACUAGAUGGACACAAACACAUUAUUGAAAAAACAAUUGUACUUGAACUUUAGAAAUUUAGAAGCACCAACCUUAUCUCCUACUUUGAUGAAAGAAGCAAUAUAGUCUUAUAUCAACUUUUUUAGAUGUUGAGCUUCCUCAGUUGCCUAGCACGAAAAGUUCUAAAAUUAGUUAAAUAUAAACUUCAAAUCCAAGAAUAUUAGUU